rnacentral:tRNA from 1 species
GCCUUCGUGGUGUAGUGGUAACCUCACUCGGCGCGUAUUCGAGAGGUCCGUGGUUCGAGUCCAGGCCAGGGCA